GUCUACGGCCAUGCCACCCUGAACAAGCCCGAUCCCGUCUGAUCUCGGAAGCUAAGCAGUGUCAGGCCUGGUGAGUACUUGGAUGGGAGACCACCUAGGAAGACCAGGUGCUGUAGGCC
rnacentral:rRNA from 1 species